ACCGUGCAAAGGUAGCAUAAUCAUUAGUUUUUUAAUUGAAAGCUGGUAUGAAUGGUUGGACGAGAGAGCAGCUGUCUCAAUUUGAUUUUAUUAGAAUUUUAUUUUUAAGUUAAAAAGCUUAAAUAAAUUUAAAAGACGAGAAGACCCUAUAGAGUUUUAUAUAUGGUGCUAUAUUAGAUUAUAGGUAUUAAUAUACUAAUAUAGAAUUAUGUAUUUUGUUGGGGCGACAGAAAAAUUGAAUAAACUUUUUUUACAGUUAAAUCAUUAAUUUAUGAUUAGAUGAUCCGUACUUUACGAUUAUAAGAUUAAAUUACCUUAGGGAUAACAGCGUAAUUUUUUUUUAGAGUUCUAAUCGAAAAAAGAGUUU
rnacentral:rRNA from 1 species